rnacentral:rRNA from 1 species
GACAGAGGGUGCAAACGUUGUUCGGAAUUACUGGGCGUAAAGCGUGUGUAGGCGGCCAAGUAAGUCGGAUGUGAAAGCCCCGGGCUUAACCCGGGAAGUGCAUUCGAUACUGCGUGGCUUGAGUAUCGGAGAGGUUGGUGGAAUUCUCGGUGUAGAGGUGAAAUUCGUAGAUAUCGAGAGGAACACCGGUGGCGAAGGCGGCCAACUGGACGAAUACUGACGCUGAGACACGAAAGCGUGGGGAGCAAACAGG